rnacentral:lncRNA from 1 species
AGGCCCGCGUUUUUCCAUUUACGACGAAGUUACCAGGCCUGCGUUUUUCGGUUUACGACGAAAUUACGUCGAAACGUACGUUUACGACAAAGUUACCAGGCCCGCGUUUUUCCAUUUACGACGAAGUUACCAGGCCCGCAUUUUUCCAUUUACGACGAAAUUACGUGGAAUAGAUAAUCAUUUACGAUGAUUUUACAACGCUUAACCCUAAACACCGAGAAUGAAAUCCCUAAACCCCAAAGUCACAUAUCAUUUAACAUCAUAUCUUCUUCUCUACUACUUCUUGCUCUUUCUCCA